rnacentral:rRNA from 1 species
GAUGAACGCUGGCGGCGUGCCUAGUACAUGCAAGUCGAGCGAACAGACGAGGAGCUUGCUCCUUUGACGUUAGCGGCGGACGGGUGAGUAACACGUGGGUAACCUACCUAUAAGACUGGGAUAACUUCGGGAAACCGGAGCUAAUACCGGAUAAUAUUUUGAACCGCAUGGUUCGAUAGUGAAAGAUGGCUUUGCUAUCACUUAUAGAUGGACCUGCGCCGUAUUAGCUAGUUGGUAAGGUAACGGCUUACCAAGGCAACGAUACGUAGCCGACCUGAGAGGGUGAUCGGCCACACUGGAACUGAGACACGGUCCAGACUCCUACGGGAGGCAGCAGUAGGGAAUCUUCCGCAAUGGGCGAAAGCCUGACGGAGCAACGCCGCGUGAGUGACGAAGGUCUUCGGAUCGUAAAACUCUGUUAUUAGGGAAGAACAAACGUGUAAGUAACUGUGCACGUCUUGACGGUACCUAAUCAGAAAGCCACGGCUAACUACGUG